rnacentral:rRNA from 1 species
UGGGGAAUUUUGGACAAUGGGCGCAAGCCUGAUCCAGCCAUUCCGCGUGAGUGAAGAAGGCCUUCGGGUUGUAAAGCUCUUUCAGCAGGAACGAAACGGUGGGUCUUAAUACGGCCUGCUAAUGACGGUACCUGCAGAAGAAGCACCGGCUAACUACGUGCCAGCAGCCGCGGUAAUACGUAGGGUGCGAGCGUUAAUCGGAAUUACUGGGCGUAAAGCGUGCGCAGGCGGCGACAUAAGACAGAUGUGAAAUCCCCGGGCUCAACCUGGGAACGGCGUUUGUGACUGUGUGGCUAGAGUGUAGCAGAGGGGGGUGGAAUUCCACGUGUAGCAGUGAAAUGCGUAGAGAUGUGGAGGAACACCGAUGGCGAAGGCAGCCCCCUGGGUUAACACUGACGCUCAUGCACGAAAGCGUGGGGAGCAAACA